rnacentral:rRNA from 1 species
GAUGAACGCUGGCGGCGUGCCUAAUACAUGCAAGUCGAACGCUGAAGGAGGAGCUUGCUCUUCUGGAUGAGUUGCGAACGGGUGAGUAACGCGUAGGUAACCUGCCUGGUAGCGGGGGAUAACUAUUGGAAACGAUAGCUAAUACCGCAUGACAACAGUUAUUGCAUGAUAACUGUUUAAAAGGGGCAACUGCUCCACUACCAGAUGGACCUGCGUUGUAUUAGCUAGUUGGUGAGGUAACGGCUCACCAAGGCGACGAUACAUAGCCGACCUGAGAGGGGGAUCGGCCACACUGGGACUGAGACACGGCCCAGACUCCUACGGGAGGCAGCAGUAGGGAAUCUUCGGCAAGGGACGGAAGUCUGAACGAGCAACGCCGCGGGAGUGAAGAAGGGUUUCGGAUCGUAAAGCUCGGUUGUAAGAGAAGAACGAGUGUGAGAGUGGAAAGUUCACACUGUGACGGUAGCUUACCAGAAAGGGACGGCUAACUACGUG